rnacentral:rRNA from 1 species
AUUGAACGCUGGCGGCAUGCCUUACACAUGCAAGUCGAACGGCAGCGGACCUUCGGGUGCCGGCGAGUGGCGAACGGGUGAGUAAUAUAUCGGAACGUACCUUUCAGUGGGGGAUAACGUAGCGAAAGUUACGCUAAUACCGCAUAUUCUGUGAGCAGGAAAGCAGGGGAUCGCAAGACCUUGCGCUGAUUGAGCGGCCGAUAUCAGAUUAGCUAGUUGGUGAGGUAAAGGCUCACCAAGGCGACGAUCUGUAGCGGGUCUGAGAGGAUGAUCCGCCACACUGGAACUGAGACACGGUCCAGACUCCUACGGGAGGCAGCAGUGGGGAAUUUUGGACAAUGGGCGCAAGCCUGAUCCAGCCAUGCCGCGUGGGUGAAGAAGGCCUUC